rnacentral:rRNA from 1 species
UACGAAGGGGACUAGCGUUGUUCGGAUUUACUGGGCGUAAAGGGCUCGUAGGCGGUCUGUUGCGUCGGGAGUGAAAACUUACAGCUUAACUGUGAGCGUGCUUCCGAUACGGGCAGACUUGAGGUAUUCAGGGGAGAACGGAAUUCCUGGUGUAGCGGUGAAAUGCGCAGAUAUCAGGAGGAACACCGGUGGCGAAGGCGGUUCUCUGGGAAUAUCCUGACGCUGAGGAGCGAAAGUGUGGGGAGCGAACAGG